rnacentral:lncRNA from 1 species
GAGCCAUCAGAAGAGUCCAGCUAACACAGCUUAGGCCUAUUUCAUCAUCCCACCAAACAAGAAGAUAGCCUGCUUCUCGCUUGACAGAUCAAGGAAGGAGGAGGUGGAGGAGAUGACAGAACAAGAUCUACUGAAAAGACAUCCAUGACCUGGUGGCAGGUGCCCAAGCCAUGUGCUCCCAAUACCCACAACUGGAUUCUUUUUGCUGAAGAGAGAAAAGACAUCCAUGACCUGGUGGCAGGUGCCCAAGCCAUGUGCUCCCAAUACCCACAACUAGAUUCUUUUUGCUGAAGAGACCUAUGAUGAACACAACAAAAUCAUAGGAAUCCAGGACUCCCCACUUGAAGGAUACUAAACUAGGAUGGAAAUUACCUCUACACCCCGAUUGCAUCUCCACUAUCCCCGGCCCAUUCCUCUGCUUUCCUUUUUGCAACACAGGUGAUUACCUCCAGGGGGCCUCUGUACAUGCAGGUUGUAAACACUGGGCAUGUAGAAUUGAAUCCACCAGACAUGGUGGCACCAUGCUCGACCAUCUGAAAACUCGUUUUCACCUUCCCAUCAGUGAUCCCUGGGAAAAAACGAUGGCGAGCAGGAGUUGUGGGGGAGCUCUACCCUAAUAACUAUGCUAAACACCCUGUAGUUGACCUACAUGUUUCUCUCCAGCUUGUCCCUGCCUCCAAGUCCAUCUUUACCCACAUUAACCUUCUUCAACAGGAAAGCCAAGCUCAGGAGGUCCAAGCCACUCCCUCCUGGCUACAGUACAUCCAAUAUACAGCUGACCUCCUCCCCUUAACCACCCACCCCAGUCCCUCUUAGUGCUUCUCUGUCUUUCCCUUUCCUGGCCACUACUGGCAGCUGGUCCCAUUAGAAGCUUGCUCCAAGAACCUCAUGGAGACUUAUUCACAUGAAAGUCACAAAACAUUCCUUUCUUCAAUCUACCCCUACACUUUUGUCUUAUAGGACCCUCUUCAAGAUCCCAUCCUACAUGUCCCUGCGAUAUCACUGUCACCAAGCCAAUAUGUGCUUGCUUAUCCCCCACUUUCUCUGGUGCAACAACACUACUGGUUCCUGCAUUGUACCCCCUUUUAAAGGCUUCUGUACCCCCAUGAUGAUUGUUCCCCAAGUUUAUCUCUAUGAGCCUAAAGCACUUGCUUUAGAGCUAGGAGGUCUAAAGAAAAGAGUUUUUCAUCCCUCUGCUCUUGGGACUGGAUCUCACCAACUUAUUGGGCAUUCCUGGAGCAGCCAGAGCAGCCCUCCUCCAAACAUACCAUCUGACCAGUGGCUUCCAGAAUAAGCUUGAUAAGGCCAUGGCUUCCAC